rnacentral:rRNA from 1 species
UACGGAGGGUGCAAGCGUUGUUCGGAAUCACUGGGCGUAAAGCGCGUGUAGGCGGCCUCUUAAGUCUGGUGUGAAAGCCCGGGGCUCACCCUCGGAAGGGCACUGGAUACUGGGAGGCUAGAGUACCGGAGAGGAGGGUGGAAUUCCUGGUGUAGCGGUGAAAUGCGUCGAUAUCAGGAGGAACACCGGUGGCGAAGGCGGCCCUCUAGACGGCUACUGACACUGAGACGCGAAAGAGUGGGGAGCAAACAGG